rnacentral:rRNA from 1 species
UCUUUGAACGCAAAUGGCGCUCUUGGGUUCUCCCAGGAGCAUGUCUGUCUGAGUGUCU